rnacentral:rRNA from 1 species
AUUGAACGCUGGCGGCAGGCCUAACACAUGCAAGUCGAACGAGUGGCGGACGGGUGAGUAAUGUCUGGGAAACUGCCUGAUGGAGGGGGAUAACUACUGGAAACGGUAGCUAAUACCGCAUACCAUCGGAUGUGCCCAGAUGGGAUUAGCUAGUAGGUGGGGUAACGGCUCACCUAGGCGACGAUCCCUAGCUGGUCUGAGAGGAUGACCGGCCACACUGGGACUGAGACACGGUCCAGACUCCUACGGGAGGCAGCAGUGGGGAAUAUUGCGCAAUGGGCGCAAGCCUGAUGCAGCCAUGCCGCGUGUAUGAAGAAGGCUUUCGGGUCGUAAAGUACUUUCAGCGGGGAAGCGGUACCCGCAGAAGAAGCACCGGCUAACUCCGUGCCAGCAGCCGCGGUAAUUC